UCCUGACUGACCGAUAGUGAACCAGUACCGUGAGGGAAAGGCGAAAAGAACCCCGGCGAGGGGAGUGAAAAAGAACCUGAAACCGUGUACGUACAAGCAGUGGGAGCACGCUUAGGCGUGUGACUGCGUACCUUUUGUAUAAUGGGUCAGCGACUUAUAUUCUGUAGCAAGGUUAACCGAAUAGGGGAGCCGAAGGGAAACCGAGUCUUAACUGGGCGUUAAGUUGCAGGGUAUAGACCCGAAACCCGGUGAUCUAGCCAUGGGCAGGUUGAAGGUUGGGUAACACUAACUGGAGGACCGAACCGACUAAUGUUGAAAAAUUAGCGGAUGACUUGUGGCUGGGGGUGAAAGGCCAAUCAAACCGGGAGAUAGCUGGUUCUCCCCGAAAGCUAUUUAGGUAGCGCCUCGUGAAUUCAUCUCCGGGGGUAGAGCACUGUUUCGGCAAGGGGGUCAUCCCGACUUACCAACCCGAUGCAAACUGCGAAUACCGGAGAAUGUUAUCACGGGAGACACACGGCGGGUGCUAACGUCCGUCGUGAAGAGGGAAACAACCCAGACCGCCAGCUAAGGUCCCAAAGUCAUGGUUAAGUGGGAAACGAUGUGGGAAGGCCCAGACAGCCAGGAUGUUGGCUUAGAAGCAGCCAUCAUUUAAAGAAAGCGUAAUAGCUCACUGGUCGAGUCGGCCUGCGCGGAAGAUGUAACGGGGCUAAACCAUGCACCGAAGCUGCGGCAGCGACGCUUAUGCGUUGUUGGGUAGGGGAGCGUUCUGUAAGCCUGCGAAGGUGUGCUGUGAGGCAUGCUGGAGGUAUCAGAAGUGCGAAUGCUGACAUAAGUAACGAUAAAGCGGGUGAAAAGCCCGCUCGCCGGAAGACCAAGGGUUCCUGUCCAACGUUAAUCGGGGCAGGGUGAGUCGACCCCUAAGGCGAGGCCGAAAGGCGUAGUCGAUGGGAAACAGGUUAAUAUUCCUGUACUUGGUGUUACUGCGAAGGGGGGACGGAGAAGGCUAUGUUGGCCGGGCGACGGUUGUCCCGGUUUAAGCGUGUAGGCUGGUUUUCCAGGCAAAUCCGGAAAAUCAAGGCUGAGGCGUGAUGACGAGGCACUACGGUGCUGAAGCAACAAAUGCCCUGCUUCCAGGAAAAGCCUCUAAGCAUCAGGUAACAUCAAAUCGUACCCCAAACCGACACAGGUGGUCAGGUAGAGAAUACCAAGGCGCUUGAGAGAACUCGGGUGAAGGAACUAGGCAAAAUGGUGCCGUAACUUCGGGAGAAGGCACGCUGAUAUGUAGGUGAAGUCCCUUGCGGAUGGAGCUGAAAUCAGUCGAAGAUACCAGCUGGCUGCAACUGUUUAUUAAAAACACAGCACUGUGCAAACACGAAAGUGGACGUAUACGGUGUGACGCCUGCCCGGUGCCGGAAGGUUAAUUGAUGGGGUCAGCGCAAGCGAAGCUCUUGAUCGAAGCCCCGGUAAACGGCGGCCGUAACUAUAACGGUCCUAAGGUAGCGAAAUUCCUUGUCGGGUAAGUUCCGACCUGCACGAAUGGCGUAAUGAUGGCCAGGCUGUCUCCACCCGAGACUCAGUGAAAUUGAACUCGCUGUGAAGAUGCAGUGUACCCGCGGCAAGACGGAAAGACCCCGUGAACCUUUACUAUAGCUUGACACUGAACAUUGAGCCUUGAUGUGUAGGAUAGGUGGGAGGCUUUGAAGUGUGGACGCCAGUCUGCAUGGAGCCG
rnacentral:rRNA from 2 species